UGCAGUUUAUUGAGCUCGAUCGAGAAGUGUGACGAAGAAGGCCGUUAAUAAUUCAACUACUUAAAGAAUACGGGUUAGAUAUGGACAACGACUUCGAAGACAUUUGCAGUAGGCUAAACAGAGAAAGAGAGGGAGACCCAAAACUACCUGUCCUGGCAUCACAUUUGAGGAGGAGAUGAAGUCGGUGAAUAUGACCUAGCCCGGGGGAGUUUCCAGAAGACGGUCCAGAACCACUGGCCGCCAGGAGUGGAGGUCCUUUGUUGUUGCUCUACAUGUCAGGAGGCAUCGGGCAGUACAUGUAGGUAAGACUAACCCUGGUAGAAGCACCAUCUUGAUACCAUCAUUCAAACUCUCAUCAGCUGUAUCAUUAUAGGUGGACUAAAAGAACAAUAUUCAUGCAGAUAUAAUGAUGCCUUAAGUUGAAAUGGAAGGUGUCCUGAAUCUGCACCCAUUCAUCUGGUUUCGUAACUCCUUUCAUAGUGCUAUUGGAACCUGCUCCCUACCAGUAUAACAUCAAACAGAUUGGAAGAAUAAAGGCCAAUGGGAAGUGCCUUUUAUAUUUCUACUUGCCACAAAGCAGUCCAUGGUUUAGCGCAAUCUAAACUGGACUAUUGUAAUGCUCUUCGUGCUUGAAUUAGGGCGAUCUGGACUGACUGCAGAUAUUACAGAAUGCUGCAUCUAUUGUGCCAUUUGCCAUACGCCAACUUCGCUGGCUGCAAGUCAAGGAAAGGAUAUACAUGAACAUCAGUGUCCGUCUCCUGAUUUUCAAAGUCAAUGACAGAGAUCCAGAUUACAUGUAUUAUAAGGAAUCCCUUGUGCGUCAUUUUCAUUCUAGGCGCACUUGCCUUUUUAUUUUUGUGAUCAUUACGCACCUACAAAUUAGCUACUGGUGAUGCAACUUUCUCCACUACUGCUCCAAGGCCAUGGAAUUAGCUCCUUCCUCUCCUCCAGUUGUCAACAACCUUGGAUCAAUCCAAAUACAAUUUGAGAAGACCUACCAUAUUCCUGAUCUUUGCUCUGUACUUACAACAAUACUGUCACUGCCUGGUAAUUUGAAUUUUUUUAAAUCUCAUGGAUGGCAUCUCAAAGCGCUUUGUAUCUCGCAAAAUAAUGUGUUGUGUAAAAGCGAACACGCAUUGAGGUCAAGCAUAAGGGUAACCAUGGAUAUUGCCUUUUAUUACUUUUCAACAAAAGUGAAAAAUUCAUCCAAAUUAGACAAGGGAUAAUAAAGUAAUGUAUGACAUUCUAACCUCUGCAUUAUUUUGGUGAAAGAGCUCUAAGCAUAUGCAAGUAGCAAGCUGAUGAUGUCAUACUGACGUACAUUUUACGUGUACACGUAUCCCCAACUUAUUAUUUUGUAUAUAAAAUUGUGCAUUUAAUUUUGUUUACCAAGAAUGAAACAAAUCGGAUUGUAAACUGUAUUGAUGUGACUUACCUGUAUUGAUUAUUGCUGGAAGUUCUUUUGCUACAUGGGAUUGGAAGACAUACUUAUUACACACAUGAAGUAAAUUAUUAUUUUAUCUGGUAACAUGAGAACAAUAAAAAUGUGGGCAUGAUAUCAUAAACUUACAUGUAUCUACUUGCAUGUGUUGAUGACCAAUAUUUUUGUAAAUAUUAUUUUUUUAAUUUUAUCUGAUUUUGAUAAAAUUUUCACUAUUUUGCGUGGUAAAAAUUACUUUAUUUUAGAUUAUGUUGAGCCCGUAUCAUAUACAAGUACACUUUUAAAGAUAAAUUACCAGUUGUAGUAAUCUUAAAAUGAGUUUGAACAGAUUCCAAUAGAAUUACCAGCAAAAUAUAAAAGAUAUGUGCCAUAAUAAUAGCUCGGGAAGAAAAUGUGUAAUUGUUGAGAAAUGAGCAAAAUAAGCAUGUAAUUCUAUCAAAUGUCAGGUAUUUUUCAAAUCAAUCAUAAUACACUGUCCUGUCCCACAUAUGCUUUUCUGUGUUAGUGAUCAUCAGAAUAAUUGAUUUUAAGUUCAAAAUUAGUGAUUUUACAAAGAUACAAGUUUACAUUAAUGUACCAGAUCUAGAGAUUAUGUACAAUAUUUUGACAAUUUCUCAUGAAAUAAUUGUUUGCUGCAACUGCUGUCUUUUUAAUACCUCUAAGUGAUAGUGUAAUACAACCACAAAAUUUUCUUAAGAAUUAAUGUACAUGUAUGAUUCUUUCACCCAAAUUUACAUAUAUUGAUACUGUUGACUACUUGCCAAAAGUUCCUGCCAAAAGCCUUUUUUUAAACGAUGUACAUGCUUUUAUAGACGACCUGCCAAAACAUUGUUUUGUAUAUAUAUUCAAGGACCAACCAAAAAGAGAUGAAUAAAAUGUUUGAAGGAAAUUGAAAUUAACUUUUAAAAUGAUAGCUGUCAAUGCAGUAUUAUUACAGGGUUCCCACAGUCAUGGAAAAUCCUGGAAAAAAUAGGUCAUGGAAAGACAGGGAUAUGUGAAAAGUCUUGGAAUUGCAUUUACCUCUUGGCUAUGACAGCUUUCUAGUUUUUUAUGUCUCACAACUCUCAUACUCUGUGAUUGUACUCUUCUAAUAUAAUUGGUGUUCAUGAUCAUAACAUGUCUGAUUUUGUAAACUGUGCCAGAAAGGAAUUUAGUCAUGGAAAGCAGCAAUUUAGUCAUGGAGAGGUCAUGGAAUUCUGUUUUCAAAUUUCUGUGGGAACCCUGAAUAGGUUUGUGCACUUGACACAGUGUGCACUACAGAUGAACUUUGUAAUGCCAUGAUAUAAACCAGUACAAUAUCUUAAAGGAAAAUAAAACCCAAAAUAUAAUACCACAUGAUACCAUUGAUGUAUACCCCCAAUCCGAUUUCCCAGUAUGGAGUACCACCUUUUCAAAGUUGGCAUCUUCUGGUUCGAAGUCUAUGGAUGGAGAUUAUUCCGUCAGCGACGAACUACAUCUCUAAACGUUUGAGCAUUAUAUAUUCUAUUUCAUCGAUAAUAAAUCAAAUGUACAGAUAAAACUCAUAAAAUAUUAAUUAAAAUUUGUUUAAUAUUAUAUGAUAGGUUCAAAUUACGACUUGAUGAGUUUUAAUGAUAAAAAUUACACCUUAACUCUUACUCUGCCAGGCCCAAUACCCCUCUACUGCCAGGGAUAUUCGAGGGAACCCUAAAUUGACCGAAAUGUGAGCAGCGACUGAUUUUAAAACGGUCAUAAUUCUUUACCCGUACGUUGUAUAAUAAAACCUUCUACACAUGAAAUGAUGCAUGGUUCAUGGGCUUUAUGGUCGUGUUAUUAUCUUUCAUAUUUGCGUUUGGAAAAAUGGAGAAAAGAUGUAAUAUUUUACAUCGUUUUUUUUCAAUAAGUAAAACCUAGAAAAUUAUGAUUUCAUGAACAUUUCAAAAAGUAAAUAACCUGAGGAAUUGUAGAGAUACCAAGAAAUUAAGAAGAUAAAAUGAAAGUUCAAUGUUUACCCUUUCAAAUGACGUAUCUAUUAAUGAAACUGAACAAAAAGAAAUAACGAAAAAUAAUGCUCUUUUGAAUAAAAUACUAUUUUGCUAUUCAAGUUAUUUCCUCUGAAGUACGAUAAAGCGACCUGUUCCAAAAAAGGGCAUUGUCGCCGAUCAAGUGACCAAUCACAGCACAGCUGCGAUCCCCACGCAAACACACACAAUAAUAUAUUAGAGCCAUGUAUCUUCAAAGUGCGGCCAACCGUACCCUUUCAUUCGUGUAGUCUUCAAAAUAAGACUCUGUAAUUUUUUUUAUUCGUAGUGUAACAAACAAAGUUAUUGCCAGUCAGAAGGAGACAAAAUAUAAAAGAACUUAAGAUGAUAUAUUGAAAUAAAGAUAAAGAGGGGUCGGACAGUUUCAAUACUUACAAGUUUGGGGUAUAAAAUCCCACAAAAUAAUAUGGGCGUUCUUGGCAAAGUGCACAGAAGUAAGAAAAAAAAAGUUUAUUUUUCGUGAAUCAAAGAAGAGGGAAUGCAAAUCAGUUACAAACAAAAAAAUCAAUACAAAUUUUCAAAAAGAAAAUAGGCCUAUUUGUUCUGUAUUACUGGUCUGACCAAAGUAGCCACCUGUUAACAUUCUACGUGACUACAUUCUUUUGGUCAUGCCACCAAGUCAUGAACAAUAGAUGCCCAGACUCUCUUUCAUGAGGAAUCUCUAAUCCGCGCUCCCUUCUGACCUAUUAUCUAGGAGAGUAAUUUAGCACAGGAUGUUCAAAGAAAUCGGGGCUCACGCGCGUCUUUUGAUUUGACAUAUGAAUACUUUCAAAGGUUCCGGUAUUGAUUUCUUAUGGGUGACCCAGGUAAAGAGAAAACAAUUUGCCCCCCUACAGAAAAAUCCUGCAUCCGCCCAGGGCCUCCCCAGCUCGUAGCACUAUCCGUGGUAAAAGAAAUUUAUUUGUUCAGAUAACAUAUUGUACAAUAAUAUGCGUGGUAUAAAGAAAUGUAAUAUUCAACCCGUUAUCAUCGUUAUCAUUUUCAUUUCUACUCUCUAAAGUCGUUUUAAAAUCCCCUUGAUAGUGACGUCAAUGAUGCAGCAACUAACAUGUCGGUCUGAUCGGUUUUGUUAAUGUAUCCCUUUUUUUUCUUUUCCUCAAAACAUCUUGAGACGAAUAAAGCGGUAUUAUCGGCCGUUUUAAUUAUCACA